rnacentral:rRNA from 1 species
GGGCGUUCCCCUUCGGGGGACAGGGUGACAGGUGGUGCAUGGUUGUCGUCAGCUCGUGUCGUGAGAUGUUGGGUUAAGUCCCCGCAACCGAGCGCAACCCUCGACCUUAGUUGCCAGCAUUCAGUUGGGCACUCUAAGGUGACUGCCGGCUAAAAGUCGGAGGAAGGUGGGGAUGACGUCAAAUCAUCAUGCCCCUUAUGACCUGGGCUACACACGUGCUACAAUGGGCGGUACAAAGGGUCGCGAACCCGCGAGGGGGAGCCAAUCCCAAAAAGCCGCUCUCAGUUCGGAUUGCAGGCUGCAACUCGCCUGCAUGAAGCCGGAAUCGCUAGUAAUCGCGGAUCAGCAUGCCGCGGUGAAUACGUUCCCGGGCCUU